CCGUGCAAAUCCUUAUUGCAAGUGAACCCGUCCUUCUCUUGAUCUCAGGACAAUAUGAAGCUAGGCUUGAUCUGAAAGGCUACAGAAACACAGAUUUGGGAGAGCAAGAUUCAAGCAAAUCCAUGUGACUUGUACAGUAAUGGCCCAAAGUAUAGAUAUAUGUAUAUAUACAUGCAGGAAAGGUGCAAAACCCAGCUUUACCACUUUCUAUCUGUGUGAACCUGUCAGCUAAAAAUUGGCACUUGCCAUCUGCCUCUACAAAAAGUAAGUCACUAGCCACUGCUAGUGACCUUCAACACACCAUGAAAGGAGUUCGGGGUGGAGGUCAGCAAUGAGGCACUCUGUGCUCUAGGAAAAACAGACAGAAUGGGUCUUCAGGUAGUCAGAUAUUUUAAGCAGAAGAGUCUUUGAGCCCAAUUCUUGCAGCUCCCUGUACCUAGAAAAGCACUAAAACCAUUCACACAGACAUCUGCUACUCUUGACUCACAGCAAAUCUCUGCCAAAACAUCUCCAAAAGUCUCGGCACAAGCAUUGCUUUCAGUUGACAACUUUUAACAUGCCACUGAAUUUCUACAGAUUCACUUCCUAAUGUGUAAAUGGGGAUUAAAAACAACAGCUACCUCACAGGCUGUUUCAAGAAUUAACUUCCAAAACAGCACAAUGCAAAUGUUCUUGAUAUUCUUAGUUACCUAACAUAUGCAUGCGCUCUACACACACACUUCACGCUGUUAACUACAGAGAUGUUUUUAAAGACAUAGCAAAGAUGCUCAGAGGCAUACUGAAAUCCGGUUACCUCUGAAAGGAAAGUCAACAGCUCCAGGAAAUCAACCUGGAUAGGUUUCAUUCCAGGGCUGCUGAGAACUUCAAAAAUUCCUUUAAUCUUCGAUCGGGCAGUCCUAACCUAUGACGCUGGGUUCACAGGGAACCAUAAUCGCUCCCACUGUGGGCUCGCCUUCAUUUCAAAGCUCCCUCCAGCGUUCCUGGCUCCCCACCUCUCACUGCCCCACUCCGGGACUCGCUCCUGCUCCAUCGUCCCCUUCAGGACCACUCCACAGAGUCCAUUCUGACCUUUCUGCCUACCGGCUACCGGCCCCGCAACGAGCAUCGGCCAAAAUCCCCUUCACCCCGACCUUUAGAAAACGGAAGACAGAAAAACCACCCAGAGAGGUGGGGCGCCUGGAGAUGAGGGGGCGCCCGGACACCGGGCAUGCGCAGAGGCCGCCGCGAGCCUGGGAGGAGCUGCGACAUCGCUGCGUGGGCGAGAAGCCGCCUCUUUGGGACUGAUAUCGGGGGACCGACCCCGACUGGCCUGUCGCCGCCUGGGUCUCGGGCCCCACUUCUAGGAAGCUCGCGGGCCGGGCAGGCCCGGAUCGGAGCGGAGCGGGGCGGCCGAAGGAGGAGGGCCGCGGCCGGAGGCGGGGGCGGAGCCGGGCGCGGGGCCGGCGGGCCGCCGGGGGCGCUGCGUACCUGGUAGCGGCCGGUGAGCAGCUGGCUCCGCGAUGGCGUGCACAGCGGCUGCGUGUAGUAGUUGUCCAGCAGCACUCCGCCGGCCGCCAGCGCGUCCAGGUGCGGCGUGCGGAUUUCCGAGCCGUGGAAGCCCACGUCGUUCCAGCCCAGGUCGUCCGCCAGCACGAAGACGAGGGCCAUACUGGUGACAUGAAGGUUCCCACGGCAGGGAUUGAAUUGGAGCUGUAGCUGCUGGCCUACUCCACAGCUAUAGCAAGGCGGGAUCCAUGCCUUAUCUGUGACCUACACCACAGCUCACGGCAAUACCAGAUCCUUACCCACUGAACGAGGCCAGGGAUCGAACCUGCGUCUUCAGGAAUACUAGUCAGGUUAACCGCUGAGCCACAAUGGGAAUUCCAAAAAGAGAAUGUUGAAGAGCUAUUUGACUCUCAUUAGGUUAAGGCUUGAAAAUUUCCUUUAAAAACCAUGUAAAAGAUCUUUAAGGACAAAAUUUUCCAUGGUGGCCCUUGCCUGUCCCUCUUUCCAUAACUGUUCCUCCCUACCCUUCAGGAUAGAAAUCAGAUUGCCCAAACCAUGGCUGGUAAUCUGCAGGAACAAUUCCUCCUUUGACCAACUGCUCCAGAAACUACUGAACUUGCACUGCACCUUCCGAUGUCCUGAAUUUUCAAAUAAAAGCUUAUGCUAAAAAUGCUCUGGAAAUGUGCAAAUGAGUUAAUUAAAAAGAGUUAAUUCUAUUUUUCAUUUAUGCAUU